rnacentral:rRNA from 1 species
GAGAGUUAAACAGUACGUGAAAUUGUUGAAAGGGAAACGAUUGAAGCCAGUCGUACCUUCGGGUAAUCAGCCUUUCGGGUGCGAUUCUGUGGGGUUUGAGGAGCUUAACACCUUCAUGCUUUUGCAUAUUCGUGCUCUUGGGUGUACUUGCCCGUGUGGUUGGUUAACAUCAAUUUUGGUGGUCAUAAAAUGACUGGAGGAAUGUAGCUUCGAUCUUGUAUUGAAGUGUUAUAGCCUUCGGUAGAUGUGAUGAUCGAGAUUGAGGAUUGCAACGGAUACCUUUCGGGGCUACCUGUCUGAUCUCUGAUUGUUGCUUUGGUGCUGAAAGCGUGCUUAUAGUUAUCAAAGUCGAUGGUCAAUAGGUUAGAAUGGGUUAAAUUCGUUAAGGAUGUUGACGUAAUGGCUUUAAACGA